AUGGUGGGGAACAGGCGGCGGGAGCUGCAGGAGAGGGACAGGAGGCGGCGGGAGCUGCAGGACAGCGCGCGGCGGGAGGAGCUCGGGCGGGAGAGCAGGGAGGCGGCGGCGGCGGCCGCCAUGGCGGCGGCGGGCAAGGAGAGGGCCAGGGAGAAGGGGAAGGGGAAGGAGCGGGAGAAUGGCGGAGAGGGCGGCAAGUUCGGCCAGCAAUUCGCCAGGGUGUUCCUGCCGCAGCUCUACGGGGAGAGAUUGAAAAUUCCACCAUCAUUCAACCAGUACCUUCAGGAUCAGCCUACUGGAGUGGUUUCCCUAAAAGGUCAAAGUGGCAACACAUGGCUUGCAGAGCUGGCUUCAGACAAUGAAGGAUUGUUCUUUGUGAAGGGAUGGAAGGAAUUUGUCAGAGACCAUUCGAUUGAGAUGGGUCACUUCUUAACAUUCCGUUAUGAUGGACGCUCACAAUUCUCAGUGGUCAUCUUUGAUGGAAUGUGCAUUGAGAAGCCUUCAGCUUUUCAUGCUAAGCCUCGCAAGAAUCUGGUUGUUAAAAUAGAAAGUGGUAAAGGGGACAUGGACAUCAAUGCAGCUGAUCCAUCACAAGUAUCGGCUGCCCCCUUGGAGGAGAGUAAUGAAACCACAAGGAAGAGGGUUACAGAAAUGGAUGCAGAUGGCUCUACAUCGAAGAAGCGCUCUAGUAUCUUGGAAAACGGUAUGCCUGAAGCUUCGGCUGUUACAUGUAAGGUGGCAUCAACGAGCCUUAACGUGGACAUGAAUACAGCUGACCCACCAGAGGCAGUGGUUGUUCCCUUAGAAGAGAGCAACCAAACCACUAGGAAGAGGGUUAGAGAAAUCGAUGCAAAUGGCUCUGCAUUGGAGAAGUCCUUGAGGGUUAGAGAAAUCGAUGAAAAUGACUCUGCAUUGCACAAGUCCUCGAGGGUUAGAGAAAUCGAUGCAAAUGACUCUGCUUUGCACAAGUCCUCGAGGGUUAGAGAAAUCGAUGCAAAUGACUCUGCGUUGCAGAAGUCCUCGAGGGUUAGAGAAAUCGAUGCAAAAGACUCUGCAUUGCAGAAGUCCUCGAGGGUUAGAGAAAUCGAUGCAAAUGACUCUGCGUUGCAGAAGUCCUCGAGGGUUAGAGAAAUCGAUGCAAAUGACUCUGCGUUGCAGAAGUCCUCAAGGGUUAGGGAAAUCGAUGCAAAUGACUCUGCAUUGCAGAAGUCCUGUAUUGCCUCAAACAAGGAUAAGAAAAGGUGUCCUGCAGCUUCAGUCGGUACUUACAAGUCAGCUUCAACAAGUCUUGACAGUACUGAAGAUUCUGAUUCCUCAAGCAGCAUGUUAGAACAAAGUAUCUCUUGCAUCAAGUCUGAAUUGACAUCACCCAUUCGGCUCGGAGUGAGUAAGGAUGUUGCUAGACGUGGUCAAACUAGCGCGACGGGUAAGAGACUACUAAGAGUACUAUCACAAAGGCCACUGAUAACUGAAAUACAGAAGGACAAUGCUCUGCUAAGGGCAAAACAAUUUAAAUCCAAGAAUCCUUUCGGUCUUCAGAUAAUGAAGGAGUCUUAUGUAUAUGUGGGAUUUUUCUUGAAUCUACCCUGUGAAUUUGUAAGGGAGUGUCUUCCCCGUGCCCACAGGAAGUUAAAGCUCUGGAAUCCACAAGGAAAGUCUUGGGAUGUUAACUAUGUCUACUACAGCGAACGCUGUGGUGGCGGUUUGAGUGGUGGCUGGGGCAAGUUUUCUCUAGACAAUAAUCUGGAGAAGUUCGACGUGUGCGUCUUCGAGCUCUUCUCGAAGGACAACAUAAAAGUACACAUCUACAGAGUCGUCCCAGAAAUAACCCCAUUCCUCCCUGGUCCUGGCAAGAAAUAA
rnacentral:rRNA from 1 species